AAUUUUGGACUAGGGGGGAAACCCUGAUCCAGCCAUCCCGCGUGUAUGAUGAAGGCCUUCGGGUUGUAUCGUACUUCUGGCAGAGAAGAAAAGGUAUCUCCUAAUACGAGAUACUGUUGACGGUAUCUGCAGAAUACGCACGGGCUAACUACGUGCCAGCAGCCGCGGUAAUACGUAGUGUGCAAGCGUUAAUCGGAAUUACUGGGCGUAAGGGGUGUGUAGGCGGGUCGGGAAGAAAGAUGUGAAAUCCCAAGGCUGAACCUUGGAACUGCAUUUUUAACUGCCAAGCUAGAGUAUGUCAGAGGGGGGUAGAAUUCCACGUGUAGCAGUGAAAUGCGUAGAUAUGUAGAGGAGUACCGAUGGCGAAGGCAGCCCCCUGGGAUAAUACUGACGCUCAGACACGAAAGCGUGGGGGGCAAACAG
rnacentral:rRNA from 1 species